UACGGAGGGGGCUAGCGUUGUUCGGAAUUACUGGGCGUAAAGGGCGCGUAGGCGGCCUUCUAAGUCGAACGUGAAAUCCCCGGGCUCAACCCGGGAACUGCGUCCGAUACUGGAAGGCUUGAAUCCGGGAGAGGGAUGCGGAAUUCCAGGUGUAGCGGUGAAAUGCGUAGAUAUCUGGAGGAACACCGGUGGCGAAGGCGGCAUCCUGGACCGGCAUUGACGCUGAGGCGCGAAAGCCAGGGGAGCAAACGGGG
rnacentral:rRNA from 1 species